UACAGAGGUCUCAAGCGUUGUUCGGAUUCAUUGGGCGUAAAGGGUGCGUAGGUGGCGGGGUAAGUCAGGUGUGAAAUCUCGGGGCUCAACCCCGAAACUGCACUUGAUACUGCCUUGCUCGAGUACUGGAGAGGAGAUUGGAAUUUACGGUGUAGCAGUGAAAUGCGUAGAUAUCGUAAGGAAGACCAGUGGCGAAGGCGAAUCUCUGGACAGUUACUGACACUGAGGCACGAAGGCCAGGGGAGCAAACAGGG
rnacentral:rRNA from 1 species